AACUCUACUGUUCAUUGGCUGUAGCGAGUUUCGUCCUAAGUAACGAACGAAAUCGCUGACGACGAAACUUGCUACAGCCUAUGAACAGCAGAGUUUUA
rnacentral:miRNA from 1 species